UACGUAGGGACCGAGCGUUGUCCGGAUUCAUUGGGCGUAAAGAGCUCGUAGGCGGCUGUUCAAGUCGAACGUGAAAACUCGGAGCUCAACUCCGAGCCUGCGUUCGAUACUGGACGGCUAGAGUCUGGUAGGGGGAUCGUGGAAUUCCUGGUGUAGCGGUGGAAUGCGCAGAUAUCAGGAGGAACACCGGUGGCGAAGGCGGGUCUCUGGGCUGUAACUGACGCUGAGGAGCGAAAGCGUGGGUAGCGAACAGG
rnacentral:rRNA from 1 species